rfam:Stegodyphus mimosarum contig172543, whole genome shotgun sequence.
ACCUUCGUGGUGUAAUGUCAGCACAUUCGGCGUGUAUUCGAGAGGUCCAGGUUCGAGUCCCGGCGAGGGCA